AGCUAAUCUAUACCCCAUCAACAAUAAGGGAUUUCCUAAAACAUUCUUUCCCUUUCGUUGAAUCUGACUCACUUCACGUGCAACUAACGAAGCAAUAUAUUAUGGUCCAACGUGAGAAAGAAAACCAUUCACCAGCUGAGAAUGAAUACUUUUCUCAUUCUCUUAUGCUUGCUCUCUGAAGCGGUCUCUGUCAACAUCGUAGCUAGAGGAGACACCAGGGUUGACUUCAAUGGCGACGCAUCAUAUACCUGCACCCAUGCGGACCCGACAGGUGUUCUGCAAGUCACCUGGCAGAGGCUGUUCAAAGACGACUCGGUGGAGAAUCUGGCCACCUACAGCAAGCGGUUUGGCGCUCAAAUCAUAGACCCGCACCGAGGCAAGGUGGUUUUCACGGAGGCAUCUCUCAACUCGACGUCCAUUACCGUGAAGAAUGUAACAUGGGCGGACGACGCCUGCUAUAUUUGUUCCUUCAAUGUUUACCGAGUGGAUCAAGACGCAAGCAGACGUGUCUUACCGUUCAAGGUGUAUCAGAAGUGAAAGCCACAAUGCAAAAAGUCCCCAGCACUGAACCUAAAGCAGACAUGGAAGUUGUGGUCAGUUGCUCUGCCACAGGUAAACCAGCACCUUGGAUCCAAUGGAACAUUUCUGCAGCAGCACUCAUAAAGACACCUAACAACUGGACUGUCAUUAACAAAGACCAAACUGUCACAGCCAAUAGCAACAUCACCCUCCAACUGUUGCCAGGCUCAGGGGGAUACGUGGACUGUAUCAUAAACAAUGGGAUGAGGACACAGAGACACGAGUGGGUCCUGCUUCCUAUUCUCCCUGGAGAGAGGGAGGUUGAAGAGGAUGACAAGAGGACAUCCCCGUGGGCUGUUGCCAUUCCAGUAUUCCUAAUCAUUUCCCUUUUAGUCAUCUUUGG